GGGCACUCUAAGUUGACUGCCGGUGACAAACCGGAGGAAGGUGGGGAUGACGUCAAAUCAUCAUGCCCCUUAUGAUUUGGGCUACACACGUGCUACAAUGGACAAUACAAAGGGUAGCGAAACCGCGAGGUCAAGCAAAUCCCAUAAAGUUGUUCUCAGUUCGGAUUGUAGUCUGCAACUCGACUACAUGAAGCUGGAAUCGCUAGUAAUCGUAGAUCAGCAUGCUACGGUGAAUAC
rnacentral:rRNA from 1 species